UAAUACGGAGGGUGCAAGCGUUAUCCGGAUUCACUGGGUUUAAAGGGUGCGUAGGUGGGUUGGUAAGUCAGUGGUGAAAUCUCCGAGCUUAACUUGGAAACUGCCAUUGAUACUAUCAGUCUUGAAUACCGUGGAGGUCAGCGGAAUAUGUCAUGUAGCGGUGAAAUGCUUAGAUAUGACAUAGAACACCAAUUGCGAAGGCAGCUGGCUACACGAAUAUUGACACUGAGGCACGAAAGCGUGGGGAUCAAACAGGAUUAGAUACCCUGGUAGUCCACGCCCUAAACUAUGGAUACUCGACAUACGCGAUACACUGUGUGUGUCUGAGCGAAAGCAUUAAGUAUCCCACCUGGGAAGUACGAUCGCAAGAUUGAAACUCAAAUGAAUUGACGG
rnacentral:rRNA from 1 species